rnacentral:rRNA from 1 species
GAUGAACGCUGGCGGCGUGCUUAACACAUGCAAGUCGAACGGAAAGGCUCCUGCUUGCGGGGGUACUCGAGUGGCGAACGGGUGAGUAACACGUGGGUGAUCUGCCCUGCACUUCGGGAUAAGCCUGGGAAACUGGGUCUAAUACCGGAUAGGACGAUGGUUUGGAUGCCAUUGUGGAAAGUUUUUCGGUGUGGGAUGAGCUCGCGGCCUAUCAGCUUGUUGGUGGGGUAAUGGCCUACCAAGGCGUCGACGGGUAGCCGGCCUGAGAGGGUGUACGGCCACAUUGGGACGGGGAUACGGCCAAGACUCCUACGGGAGGAAGCGGUGGGGAAUAUUGCACAAUGGGCGCAAGCCUGAUGCAGCGACGCCGGGUGGGGGAUGACGGCCUUCGGGUUGUAACCUCCUUUCGCUAGGAACGAAGCGCAAGUGACGGUACCUAGAGAAGAAGCACCGGCUAACUACGUG